rnacentral:rRNA from 1 species
UACGGGGGGGGCAAGCGUUGUUCGGAAUUACUGGGCGUAAAGGGUUUGUAGGUGGCCAACUAAGUCAGACGUGAAAUCCCUCAGCUUAACCGGGGAACUGCGUCUGAUACUGGUUGGCUUGAGUGCAGGAGAGGAACGCGGAAUUCCAGGUGUAGCGGUGAAAUGCGUAGAUAUCUGGAGGAACACCGGUGGCGAAGGCGGGUCUCUGGGCCGAUAUCGACGCUGAGGAGCGAAAGCGUGGGGAGCGAACAGG